UACGAAGGGGCGUAGCGUUGCUCGGAAUUCAUGCGUGGGCGUAAAGGGUGCGUAGGCGGUCUUUAAGUCAGGGUGAAAUCCUGGAGCUCAACGUCCAGUAACUGCCUUUGAAUACAUGAAGAUCUUGAAGUUUCGGGAGAGGUGAAGUGGGAACUGCGAGUGUAGAGGUGAAAUUCGUAGAUAUUGCAAGAACACCAGUGGCGAA
rnacentral:rRNA from 1 species